CGGCUCUCCUCGGUGUGACCUGGUGGUUGUUGCCGCAGUCUGUUGCAAAGGUUCUGGGCCCCAACCGUAGCCUCUUGCGAGGUUUGAAGCCUUGGUUUGGUGUCCCAUGGCCUUGUCUGCGUGGGCCUUUUGUCGUGCAACAUCAGUGGCGUGUUGUAUGUCCUUGGCUACAACAACCCUUUGUGGUUGGUCCUAGAGUCGCGUGCACACAGACCAACAGCUCUCUUUGGCACUUGGCAUGACCUGGUGUUUACCAUCCCAGUCUCCUGCGAUGGUGAUGCGCCGCCUUGUUUCCAGAACUUUGGCGUCGGCUCCUCGGCUACCUCUUAGUCUGUUGCAAAGGUUCUGGGCCCCAACCGUAGCCUCUUGCGAGGUUUGAAGCCUUGGUUUGGUGUCCCAUGGCCUUGUCUGCGUGGGCCUUUUGUCGUGCAACAUCAGUGGCGUGUUGUAUGUCCUUGGCUACAACAACCCUUUGUGGUAAGU